AGUGAACGCUGGCGGUAGGCCUAACACAUGCAAGUCGAACGGCAGCACAAUAAGAGCUUGCUCUUACGGGUGGCGAGUGGCGGACGGGUGAGGAAUACAUCGGAAUCUACUUUUUCGUGGGGGAUAACGUAGGGAAACUUACGCUAAUACCGCAUACGACCUACGGGUGAAAGCAGGGGAUCUUCGGACCUUGCGCGAUUGAAUGAGCCGAUGUCGGAUUAGCUAGUUGGCGGGGUAAAGGCCCACCAAGGCGACGAUCCGUAGCUGGUCUGAGAGGAUGAUCAGCCACACUGGAACUGAGACACGGUCCAGACUCCUACGGGAGGCAGCAGUGGGGAAUAUUGGACAAUGGGCGCAAGCCUGAUCCAGCCAUACCGCGUGGGUGAAGAAGGCCUUCGGGUUGUAAAGCCCUUUUGUUGGGAGAGAAAAGCAGCAGGUUAAUACCCCGCUGUUCUGACGGUACCCAAAGAAUAAGCACCGGCUAACUUCGU
rnacentral:rRNA from 1 species